rnacentral:lncRNA from 10 species
AUUAAAGAAGGAAGAGGUUUUUUAUUCGGCCGGGAUCAUUGGCAGACUCGUGUCUUAAGAGCCGAGCUCCCCGAAAAAGAAAUUCUUAGCCCUUUUAAGGGCUUACAACUCUAAGGGGUCUACAUGAAAAAGUCAUAAUAGAUCAAGUAAGCGUGAGAAACAUGACUGGGGGCUACAUACAUCAGCUAACAGAACAAAAAGUUUUACAGUAUUUUCUCAUACAGUGUCUGGAAUUUACAGAUAACACCAAUAGUUUUGGUCAGGGGUUAAUAAUAUUAUUAUUAUUUUAGCCACCAGGGCCAGGUGGUGGUGCCAAGGUCGUCUAGCUAUUUAUCUUACUUCUGUUUCUUUUCAACUUUUUGCUUUCUCCCUUUUCUCCUGUCUUAUAAACUAGGGAAAAGGGGAGGUUGGGGAGAAACUGAGAAGGACAACAGGAGAAGUGGCGACCUCAUACCAUAUUUCCCCCCCUUUGAGAAUUUUCACUUUUAGUGGGAGUUCUUACUCUCGUCCUCACUUUUUUAGUCUCUUUGUGAGAUAGAGCGAUAGUGAUUUGUAUAAUACACAUGUGCUGAAGUUUUCUGAUGAACUAAAGUAACAACAAAAUAUUUUAUCAUUUGAAAAAGCAAGGGUAAUACACAGGGGAGCAGCAAGCAAGUUCCUAUCACUAGCAAUACACCUACAAUGAGGGUUUUAAAUCCUCCUAUAGCUGGAAACCAUUUUCCAAAUAAAGACUCAGGAUUAAACUUGUGCCAAACCUGUACAGGCACAUGUGCCACCUUUGUCAUGUCCCUGACUAUGUUUUCAACCACCUGUCCUUGAUCAUCUAUUUGUAGGCAGUAAUUGGUUAAGUUAAAUUUUCCACAAACUCCUCCUUCAGCUGCUAGCAAGUAGUCCAAGGCCAGUCUAUUCUGAUAGAUAGCAUUCCUCGUUUGGGUUUCCUGCCGAGCUAAAACAGUCAAAGCUCUGCCAGUUUCAUUAGUAAUUAUUUCUAAGAUGGCCUGCAACCGUAUGAUCCGAUUGAGCAUGUAAAUGGGGGUUCGGUAUCCCCAUGAGCCGUCUUGUGCCCAUGUGGCAGGCCCAUAAUACUGUAUGAUCCUUUCAGGGCGCCACUCAUUAUCUUUCCAGUUUCCUAUAACUAUGCCUCUCUUUUCUCGGGAGGCAUAGACAGGGAAACCUAGGGUCUCACCUGUUUUUAUGGGUAAUAAGAAAAAGGACGACUUAAUAGUGCCAAUAACACAACUGCCUGCCUAUUUAUUAGGUAACCGAAUGUAGGCUCUGUGCCCACAUAUCCAGUAUAGUCCAGCGGGAGCCAUCCAGUCCUGAUGAGAUUCUGGAUGAGCCCAAGCAGUUUUUAAUUUUGAAAAUUUACUAAAUGGAUUCUUUUCACUAUACAGUAUUGUCCAAUAAUUGAGGUUUUUAGGACCCAGAAGUUGCUAGCUUGGGUUUUCUGAACUGGAAUUAUAUCAGGAGCUGGAUCAGUAGGCACCAACUCUCGGGCUUCCCAAGGCCAUCGGUCUCCGAUAGUGGUUCCCCCGCAUACAUAACAAGAAGUAACAUUAAGGGAAUGAGCUACAUUUUCUGCUAAUUGGAGAAACAAAUUUUUUGUCUUUUUUGGAAAUUCUGGUGCUGGCAGAUUCAGCUCCUUAUAAAAGGUUUGAAAUACUGGUUUGGGAGAGCACUUGUGGACCUCCCCUCUAAUUAAAAUGGCAACUUGGGGGUUUAACCCUGUCCCAUCAAUCCCCAGGGUUACACGUUCUCCCUUUUUCCAAUGGGGAUCUAGGGGAUUGGUAAUUAUUAGUUCUAGUGGGUUACAGUGACCAGCAGCACAGGAGGGGUUGGCUUCCCCCUUCUGAAGAUAAACC